CCGUGGUUAGCGCAGUUGGUAGAGCGCUCCACUUGUAAUGGAGAGGUCCCGGGUUCGAUACCCGGACCAGGCG
rnacentral:tRNA from 1 species